rnacentral:lncRNA from 1 species
ACUGAAAUCUUGUUCAUAUAAGUUAUGCUGCAUAAGGAUGAAAAUAUCAUUUGUGGCAAUUUUUCAGAACUUAAAUGUUUGCUUCAUGUGUCCCUAGGCACCCAUGUCUCCUGUGUAAUCCUUUCAUCAUUGGAAAGCUGGGAGCUGUGGGAUGGGAGGAGGAAGUCUUUAACUACUGAAAAUUGCAACAGCCAGAAUGAGCCAUGAGUGCCUCAGAAUAGAAUUAAACAUUUCCUCUUUAAUUUUCAAAACAAUGUCCCAGCUUGAUGACAUUGGCUUUAUGUAGAGAAAUCUGUAAACAGGAUUUCGGCCCAUAUUUUCAGUUGCAUGGGGUUCUAGAUCAUUGAUACUUUGAUGCUAACUGGUCGAUUCCGUUCUAUUAGCUGAAAUCUGUCUCACGUAAAUCUGACCUAUGAGACUGUUUGGUCUGUAGACUGUUGUCACAGCAGAACUGGAGUGCACUAUAGAAGUGUACCAAAAUCAUGAGAGUUGUAAAAUAAAGUCUAUCAUAGUAUCGGUAUCUAUCACAGUACCAGUGGGUCCAGUUGUAUACCGUAUUUUUCCAUGUAAUUAAAGGAAAAAUUGAGGGUUGUUCUAUACUCGGAAGGAAGGGGGAGGGAUCUCUGUUUCUCCCUCCACGUUUUGCAAAGAAAGUGCAGGGGGAAAGCGAUUUCUGCUUUCCCCCUACGUUUUCAUUUGCAACAUUUCUUGCAAAGAAAGAAAUUUUGAUUUAGAAAAGUGAGGGAGGUUUAUACCUGGGGGUGUCUUAUACAUGGGAAAAUACAGCAAAUGUUUGUUGUUUCCUACCUCAGGCACUGGAAAGGGCUUCCACGUCCCACAUUGACUUAGAUUUUCUAGCCUCACCGGGGCAGAUGAGCUAUCCAGAUUCCCCUGGCCUCGAGCGUUCAGUCUUUCGUGGGAGAACUGUCAAGCCAUCUUCGCAGCGCUUCAUGCGGCAGCAGUCUCCCGUAGCAUCUGGCUCUGUAAGAUCACCGUACCCAUUUACUCCACCCCGCAGGACACGUCGCGCCUUUGGCCUUAAUCAGGUGAAGUGCUGUGUAAUGUGUAGUUUUGGCAUUCUGCUGACAAGAGGCCUCUUCUUCCCCUUCUUCUUAAAAAAACCCCACAAACAUUUAGAUUCCAUGGCUUUGCUUUGGUUUGGCUUUUUGCUCGUAGGUCCCUCGUAUUCUCUCAAGGGCGUGGAGGAAGAUUUUUUUUUGUCCUGUUUUGAGGGUCCCACAGCAUGCUUUGGCCCCUCUGAACCUCUGGUAAUUUUUUUACAGAGGGCCAAAGGGGGAACUAUUGAAAUAAAAUACAACAUUUUUGUAAAAAGAAAAUUCAGAAUAGGGGGCGGUCACAAGAGCAGAGUAGGGGGCUGUUCCCUCUAA